rnacentral:rRNA from 1 species
AGAACGAACGCUGGCGGCAGGCCUCAAACAUGCAAGUCUAGGGGUGUAGCAAUACACACCGGCGGACGGGUGCGUAACGCGUGGGAACAUACCUUUCGGUACGGAACAACCCAGGGAAACUUGGGCUAAUACCGUAUACGUCCUAACGGAGAAAGAUUUAUCGCCGAAGGAUUGGCCCGCGUUCGAUUAGCUAGUUGGUGGGGUAACGGCUCACCAAGGCGACGAUCGAUAGCUGUUCUGAGAGGAAGAUCAGCCACACUGGGACUGAGACACGGCCCAGACUCCUACGGGAGGCAGCAGUUGGGAAUCUUGGACAAUGGGGGAAACCCUGAUCCAGCCAUGCCGCGUGAGUGAUGAAGGCCUUCGGGUUGUAAAACUCUUUCGACGGGGACGAUAAUGACGGUACCCGUAGAAGAAGCUCCGGCUAACUUCGUGCCAGCAGCCGC